rnacentral:rRNA from 1 species
ACGCUCGACACCUACGGGGGGCAGCAGUGGGGAAUAUUGCACAAUGGGGGAAACCCGUGAUGCAGCGACGCCGCGUGAGCGAAGAAGUAUUUCGGUAUGUAAAGCUCUAUCAGCAGGGAAGAAACUGACGGUACCUGACUAAGAAGCACCGGCUAAAUACGUGCCAGCAGCCGCGGUAAUCUGAGCGGGCUGGCAAGGC